rnacentral:lncRNA from 1 species
GAAAUCUUUGUUUCUCAAAAACUGGUAUGGUUGGCCAAUGCAAUAUGUGAACGUUGAUGGACCAAGGAAGAAUUAAACCAACAACUAAGUAACUUUUAUACGAUCGAAAUUCCUAAGAAGUACAAGGAAGAAGAAAUAUACCAAAAAGGAACGUGAAUGGUCGAGUACGUGUGCGACCGACCAUGUUCUAUCUUGGAGGCUAUCUGAAUGUAAUAUUCAUGAUGAUAACCAAAGACUCAAUGAUAAGUCCAUGGUAAAAGAAUUUUUGAAAAUGCCGUAGAAUUUUAGAAGAAUGUUGAAGAGCUCUGAUCCGCGAUCAAUAGAAGAUCGAGUGAACCGAUGAAUUCAGAUCUUUGAUUGAGAAUUCCUUGGUACUCGACAAAUAAUUUUUUAUCUAGCCAAUUCCCAAGAAUAGGAGGAAAAUGUUCAAAACAAUGAUUGGAGGCCACAUGUCUGACACAUACCACUUAUUUCUCCAUUGCGUGAUGCUGCAUGCUUUGCAUGAUUUUUUUUAGUAGAAAUACAUUAUAGUUAUUCAUGAUAUAAAACGGAUUGCAUGUUAAAGCUGGGAUAAGUUCUUGAUAAUUUCUUGCUUAAAACCUGAGUUCUAUCACUUAAAUCGACAUGCAUGCAUAUUUUGUUGAUGAGAAAAAUAACCUAAGUUUACUUGAUGAUUGUUUGCGAUCGCAUGUGAGUACUGCUUGAGUUUUCGAUAAAGUAUUUAAUUCUUUUUGUUGUAAUUAACUAUGAAAUUAAUUUCAAAUCUUUAGAUCCAAUUCUAUUGUUGAUAAUAUGUUCCUCGGCGAUGGUGGUGUAUGUCUUGUGUGUUAAUCUUUUGUGGUAAUUACUUCCAUUUUGACCUAGCUCAGUGUUUUAGAUUCGCAACUAGCUCGAGGUGCUGCAUGGCGAUGCGACUGUAAGUCUUAUUUUGGUUUCCAUGGUGGAUUCAACACGGAGGUGUUCUUGGAACGGA